GGCCGGCUGGCGCAAUGGUAGCGCUUCAGACUUCUAUCACUCCUUUCCUUCGAAAGGAUUGUAGUUAUCUGGAGGUUGUGGGUUCGAGCCCCACGUUGGUCA
rfam:Colletotrichum sublineola strain TX430BB Scaffolds1427.1, whole genome shotgun sequence.